rnacentral:snRNA from 1 species
UGCCUUAAGAGGCAAAAAAUUAUAAUUACAGAGAUUAGCAUGGCCCCAGUGCAAAGAUGACACACAAAUUUGUGAAGUAUUCCAUUUAAAA